AUAAUUAAAUUGUUUCUCCUUGAUUUCUUUUUGUCCCCGGCUGAAAUAAUGGAUAAGUGGAUAAUCAUACCUUGAAGACAGCUUCUGUAUUGUGUCUUGAUUUGCUUUCUCAAAGUUGAAGAAGACAUGUCUGCGACUUUCCUCCCAAUGACAGAUAUUUUUUAAGGUUUCAAGGAUUACCCAUCAAAAACUAAUUUAUGGGCUUUUUUCUAGUAAAGAAUUUUC
rnacentral:lncRNA from 1 species